rnacentral:rRNA from 1 species
GUGCAAGGUGUGGGAUGGGCCCGCGGCCUAUCAGCUUGUUGGUGGGGUGACGGCCUACCAAGGCGACGACGGGUAGCCGGCCUGAGAGGGUGUCCAGCCACUCUGGGACUGAGAUACGGCCCAGACUCCUACGGGAGGCAGCAGUGGGGAAUAUUGCACAAUGGGCGCAAGCCUGAUGCAGCGACGCCGCGUGGGGGAUGACGGCCUUCGGGUUGUAAACCUCUUUCAGCAGGGACGAAGCGCAUGUGACGGUACCUGCAGAAGAAGCACCGGCCAACUACGUGCCAGCAGCCGCGGUAAUACGUAGGGUGCGAGCGUUGUCCGGAAUUACUGGGCGUAAAGAGCUCGUAGGUGGUUUGUCGCGUUGUUCGUGAAAACCGGGGGCUUAACCCUCGGCGUGCGGGCGAUACGGGCAGACUGGAGUACUGCAGGGGAGACUGGAAUUCCUGGUGUAGCGGUGGAAUGCGCAGAUAUCAGGAGGAACACCGGUGGCGAAGGCGGGUCUCUGGGCAGUAACUGACGCUGAGGAGCGAAAGCGUGGGGAGCGAACAGGAUUAGAUACCCUGGUAGUCCACGCCGUAAACGGUGGGUACUAGGUGUGGGUUUCCUUCCUUGGAAUCCGUGCCGUAGCUAACGCAUUAAGUACCCCGCCUGGGGAGUACGGCCGCAAGGCUAAAACUCAAAGGAAUUGACGGGGGCCCGCACAAGCGGCGGAGCAUGUGGAUUAAUUCGAUGCAACGCGAAGAACCUUACCUGGGUUUGACAUGCACAGGACGCCGGCAGAGAUGUCGGUUCC